rnacentral:rRNA from 1 species
CAGCAGCCGCGGGAAUACGUAGGUGGCGAGCGUUGUCCGGAAUUAUUGGGCGUAAAGGGAGCGCAGGCGGACAUAUAAGUCCAUCUUAAAAGUGCGGGGCUCAACCCCGUGAGGGGAUGGAAACUGUAUGCCUUGAGUGCAGGAGAGGAAAGCGGAAUUCCCAGUGUAGCGGUGAAAUGCGUAGAUAUUGGGAGGAACACCAGUGGCGAAGGCGGCUUUCUGGACUGCAACUGACGCUGAGGCUCGAAAGCCAGGGGAGCGAACGGGAUUAGAUACCCCAGUAGUCCCUGUCUCUUAUACA